rnacentral:rRNA from 1 species
CCUACGGGAGGCUGCAGUGGGGAAUAUUGGACAAUGGGGGGAACCCUGAUCCAGCCAUGCCGCGUGUGUGAAGAAGGCCCUCGGGUUGUAAAGCACUUUCAGUGAGGAAGAACGCCUGGUGGUGAAUACCCAUCAGGAAAGACAUCACUCACAGAAGAAGCACCGGCUAACUCCGUGCCAGCAGCCGCGGUAAUACGGAGGGUGCGAGCGUUAAUCGGAAUUACUGGGCGUAAAGCGCGCGUAGGUGGCUUGAUAAGCCGGUUGUGAAAGCCCCGGGCUCAACCUGGGAACGGCAUCCGGAACUGUCAAGCUAGAGUGCAGGAGAGGAAGGUAGAAUUCCCGGUGUAGCGGUGAAAUGCGUAGAGAUCGGGAGGAAUACCAGUGGCGAAGGCGGCCUUCUGGACUGACACUGACACUGAGGUGCGAAAGCGUGGGUAGCAAACAGGAUUAGAUACCCGAGUAGUC